rnacentral:rRNA from 1 species
GAGCGGAUCCCUUCGGGGUGAAGCUCGUGGAACGAGCGGCGGACGGGUGAGUAACACGUGGGCAACCUGCCUGUAAGACCGGAAUAACCCCGGGAAACCGGGGCUAAUGCCGGGUAAUACUUUUCUUCGCAUGAAGGAAAGUUGAAAGAUGGCUUCUCGCUAUCACUUACAGAUGGGCCCGCGGCGCAUUAGCUAGUUGGUGAGGUAACGGCUCACCAAGGCGACGAUGCGUAGCCGACCUGAGAGGGUGAUCGGCCACACUGGGACUGAGACACGGCCCAGACUCCUACGGGAGGCAGCAGUAGGGAAUCUUCCGCAAUGGACGAAAGUCUGACGGAGCAACGCCGCGUGAACGAUGAAGGUCUUCGGAUCGUAAAGUUCUGUUGUUAGGGAAGAACAAGUACCGUGCGAAUAGAGCGGUACCUUGACGGUACCUAACGAGGAAGCCCCGGCUAACUACGUGCCAGCAGCCGCGGUAAUACGUAGGGGGCAAGCGUUGUCCGGAAUUAUUGGGCGUAAAGCGCGCGCAGGCGGUUCCUUAAGUCUGAUGUGAAAGCCCACGGCUCAACCGUGGAGGGUCAUUGGAAACUGGGGAACUUGAGGACAGAAGAGGAGAGUGGA